GUAAAUAGUAAUAUCCCAGCAAACACCAAAUAUAAAUGCAAUAUAACGUGAGAGUAACAUGUAAUAUAACAGACGUUACACUCUAUUUAUAUUAUAGUUACGAAACUUUACUACAUAUAUGUGAUGUAACAAAGUUAUGAAGCUAUAAUAUUACUUCGUUAUUUGUAUGUUACAAUAACCGGACAGUGAUGUAACCACAAUGUUGCGUGGUUACACAACAAUUGUUUUACUUAUGUUAUAUAAAUAUUAUAAAAUUUGAAUCUUGUGAGACUCUAACCUCAAUCGCACAACGUACAUCUCGUGCAUUAGGCGCGCUAGUGGAUGCUAUAAUGACGAAAGAGAGACGUUGUUUUCUUGCAACUUGACUUUAAUCAGGAUUCUGCCAAUUAUUCUUACAUCAUUCGGACAACUGUUCUUCUUAAAAUUUAAAAGAACGUAAAGAAUAACUGAAGUUUAUAAAAGUUGAAGAAAUUUUCACAAGGAUUAGAACAGCCUGCGACCACAUCAUCGGCAGCCUGCCAUAAGAUAAUGACAUACUUGAAGAACUAGAAGAAAACUGAACUCAAAUGGAAGCGCUUGCACUCAUGUCACUAUCAUGUCCUGACAAUUUCGGAUUUUAUAAAAGUAUAGGAGACGUGAUUGACGUUGAGAUUGUGAUUGACAGCUGGAGCAAAGCUAUAAUUUAGCUCAACAUUACGUGAAGUUUAUUUAAUGUUUUUCUCUUAUUUUCCCUCGUUUUUUAUGUUUUUAAAAAUUAUUUUUAAAAUAUAUUUACUAAUAAUCAUAAAGUAUAAUAUGUAUACAUUUGUUUAGAUAUAAGUUUAUUUUGUUGAUAAAUAUAUGUGUUAAAUAUAUUAAGAAGUUUAUUGAAAAGACUAUUUUUAAUGUUAUCUUUUUCCUUUAUAAUUAUAUCUAUCCUUUAUAAUUUUAGAACUUACAAUUUUCAGGAAGUCAAGUUCUUAAAUUAAUUUUACAUAAAACAACGAAAUUGCAUUCAAAAGUAUUUUUUGUUUUAUGUAAACUUAAUUUAAGUACUUAACCUCCUGGGAAUUAUGUGCUAAAAUAUAUACAUGUACAUAUAUAACAACACUGUAAUUAUUUUUUAUAACAGCAAUAUAAUAGUUUAUAUUGCCAUUACAAAACAUCUCGGUUAUAGUUAUAUAACAGUUCAGUUCUACGCUAUAUUUAUGUUAUGUAACUACAUCACAUGAGUAGGAAAUUAUAACUAACAGGAAUGUUACAUGUAACGUUCAUGUAAUAUUACCUGUUACAUUCCGUUUUAUUGCAGCAAUGUAAUGGUUAUAUAUUGGUGUUUGCUGGGUAUACAUAUAUAUAUAUAUAAUUUACAAUAUUUCUUUUAAAUUAUAUAAUAAAAAUAAUAAAGAUAAAUUAUAUAAAAGUAAGAUCCAAGUGUGGACAUAAAUCAGAUAUCCAGCAUAGGACGUUCUGAAUAGAAAAACAUCCGUUUUAAUUCCAAUAAUGGACAUCCUAUAAAUGUCCAUUUUAUAUCCAUGGACAUGCGGACCUGAAUUUGACUUAAAAUGGACAUCCUUGGAACAUCCAGUGCUAUUUGGGUAAGGUCCCGGGUACAAAACCUACCAGCGGCAAGAAAGAAUAAAAUAAAAUAA